CACACCGCCCGUCACACCAUGGGAGUGGGUUUCACCAGAAGCCGGUCGCUUAACCCGCAAGGGAUGGCGCCGACCACGGUGAGAUUCAUGACUGGGGUGAAGUCGUAAACAAAGGUACC
rnacentral:rRNA from 1 species